rnacentral:rRNA from 1 species
UACGAAGGGGGGCUAGCGUUGCUCGGAAUCACUGGGCGUAAAGCGCACGUAGGCGGCUUUCUAAGUCAGGGGUGAAAUCCUGGAGCUCAACUCCAGAACUGCCUUUGAUACUGGAGAGCUUGAGUCCGGGAGAGGUGAGUGGAACUCCGAGUGUAGAGGUGAAAUUCGUAGAUAUUCGGAAGAACACCAGUGGCGAAGGCGGCCCACUGGACGUGUAUUGACGCUGAGGUGCGAAAGCGUGGGGAGCAAACAGG